AGUGAACCAGGGAAGUGCCUG
rnacentral:piRNA from 1 species